rnacentral:rRNA from 1 species
GACGAACGCUGGCGGCGUGCCUAAUACAUGCAAGUAGAACGCAGUUGCGGACGGGUGAGUAACGCGUAGGUAACUGCCUCAUAGCGGGGGAUAACUCUUGGAAACGAUAGCUAAUACCGCAUACUGUGAGAUGGACCUGCGUUGUAUUAGCUAGUUGGUGAGGUAAAGGCUCACCAAGGCGACGGUACAUAGCCGACCUGAGCGGGUGACCGGCCAAACCUGGACUGAGACAAGGGCCAGAACCCUAAGGGAGGCCGCAGGAGGGAAUUGUCGGAAAUGGACGGAAGUCUGACCGAGCAACUCCGGGGUAGUGAAGAAGGUUUUCGGAUCGGAAAGCUAUGUUGUGAGAGAAGCGUUAACUAACCAGAAAGGGACGGCUAACUACGUGCCAGCAGCCGCGGUAAUUC